rnacentral:rRNA from 1 species
UACGUAGGUGGCAAGCGUUGUCCGGAAUUACUGGGCGUAAAGGGCGUGUAGGCGGGGGAGCAAGUCAGAUGUGAAAUUCCAUGGCUUAACUGUGGCGCUGCAUCUGAAACUGCUUCUCUUGAGUACUGGAGAGGAAAGUGGAAUUCCCAGUGUAGCGGUGAAAUGCGUAGAGAUUGGGAGGAACACCAGUGGCGAAGGCGGCUUUCUGGACAGUAACUGACGCUGAGGCGCGAAAGCGUGGGGAGCAAAC